ACAUGCAUAAUCUAGCAUGUACAUUGGAGAUUUCUAGCAGCCCUUUUUCUUCCUGUGUGAGCCAGCUUUUCGCUUGGACAUUCUGCAUGGCUGAGGGCUGCUGGGCUGUUGUGCCAUUGGCUGAAGAGUAGACAAAGCCCAGUGUUUUAGAGAGACUGCAGGCAGCAGAGAGCUCCUGCCUGCGCUGCCUUUUGCUUCUCAGCACUGAACAACUUCUCUGUUUUUGCACUGCUCUCAUCCUAGGGGUUUUGGAAUUGUUUAUAAGGCCUUCAACGCUGCCACAGGACAAGCGGUGGCUGUAAAGCAACUUAAUCUCCAGCACCAGGGCUGCGAGGACGUACUGAAAGAAAUCCUGGUCAUGAGUGAAAAUAAGAACGCCAAUAUUGUCACCUACCUAGAAAGCUACCUUGUCAAUGAGGCUGUCCUGCUGGUCUUGGAGUAUAUGGAUGGAGGCUCCUUAGGUGAUGUGGUCAGCGUGAGAAGGAUGGCUGUAGGACACAUAGCAACAGUGUGUCGGGAGUGCCUGCAAGGCCUGGCUUUCCUUCAUGCCAACCAGGUGAUCCAUAGAGAUAUCAAAAGUGACAACAUCCUUCUGGGCCGGGAUGGCUCCGUCAAGUUGGCUGAUUUUGGCCUCUGUGCUCUGCUCAGCCCUGAGCAGAGGAAACGGAGGUCGAUGGUCGGGACCACUUGCUGGAUGGCACCCGAGGUUGUGAGAAGAGAGCCUUACGGCCCCAAAGUGGACACCUGGUCCCUUGGCAUCGUGGGAAUAGAAAUGGCCACAGGAGAGCCUCCUUAUGUUCGGGAAACCAGUGACAGGGCCAACUUCCUGAUAGGCAAGCAAGGGGUACCAGACCUGCACAAGCUCAGGCUACCCCCUGGCUUGUGUGAAUUUCUGGGCUGCUGCCUGCAGAUGGAUGUGGACAGGCGAGGCUCUGCCAAGGAACUUCUGCAGCAUCCAUUUCUGCAAUCAGCGGAGCCUCUCUUAAGCCUCUUCUGACAGCCUUGAUUGCUGUCCUCCCUGCAGCCAGGUAAUGCAGGAAGCAAAAGAGAUGAGAAGGACCACCUGAGCACUUGGAGAACAGAGCCUCUGAGAGCAGGUAGAAAUCCUGAGGAGAGAGGGGCCAGGCAACAGGCAGCCAUCAGAGCAGGAAAGGAAGGUGGCAUCCCCUUUUCUCCCACCUGCUGAUCCUCCUUCUGCAUUUCUGCUUAGGACAGCAUUGCUGGAGGCCACAGAGUCACUACUGAUGUGCACUUUUCAGGAGCUGGAAGGGCAGCGUUUGGAGGCACAGCAGCUGCUGGCACAAGGGGCAAACUUCCUGGAUGAGGUAGAGAAGAAGCAGGAGGAAAGGCUGCUUGAGACGAAGCAGGAAGUUGCCACCAUGCAAGCUGAAUGAGAAGAGAUUCCAUGGGCCCCCGCCAUCUCGAAGGGCUUUUCAAAUGUAAACAAAGGAAAUGUGCAGUGAAGUAAUGCAGGAAGCAGAAGACAUGACCAGGAUCACUUCAGGAUUACACUCCGCAAUGGCAGCUUGGAGCUGCACUCACAA